rnacentral:rRNA from 1 species
UUGAACGCUGGCGGCAGGCCUAACACAUGCAAGUCGAGCGGUAGAGAGAAGCUUGCUUCUCUUGAGAGCGGCGGACGGGUGAGUAAUGCCUAGGAAUCUGCCUGGUAGUGGGGAUAACGUUCGGAAACGAACGCUAAUACCGCAUACGUCCUACGGGAGAAAGCAGGGGACCUUCGGGCCUUGCGCUAUCAGAUGAGCCUAGGUCGGAUUAGCUAGUUGGUGAGGUAAUGGCUCACCAAGGCGACGAUCCGUAACUGGCCUGAGAGGAUGAUCAGUCACACUGGAACUGAGACACGGUCCAGACUCCUACGGGAGGCAGCAGUGGGGAAUAUUGGACAAUGGGCGAAAGCCUGAUCCAGCCAUGCCGCGUGUGUGAAGAAGGUCUUCGGAUUGUAAAGCACUUUAAGUUGGGAGGAAGGGCAGUUACCUAAUACGUGAUUGUUUUGACGUUACCGACAGAAUAAGCACCGGCUAACUCUGUG